UCGCUAGAUGGACCCGCGUCCCAUUAGCCAGUUGGUGGGGUAAAGGCCUACCAAAGCGACGAUGGGUAGCCGGCCUGAGAGGGUGACCGGCCACACUGGAACUGAGAUACGGUCCAGACUCCUACGGGAGGCAGCAGUGGGGAAUCUUCCGCAAUGGGCGAAAGCCUGACGGAGCAACGCCGCGUGAGCGAAGAAGGUCUUCGGAACGAACAAUUUCCCGUAAAUAAUGGGAAGGAAUGACGGUACAAUAAGAGGAAGCCACGGCUAACUACGUGCCAGCAGCCGCGGUAAUACGUAGGUGGCAAGCGUUAUCCGGAAUUAUUGGGCGUAAAGGGAGCGUAGGCGGUUUAUUAAGUCAAGAGUGAAAACUCCGGGCUCAACUCCGAAUUGCCUUAGGAAACUGGGGAACUUGAGUGCAGGAGAGGGCAAUGGAAUUCCAUGUGUAGCGGUAAAAUGCGUAGAUAUAUGGAGGAACACCAGUGGCGAAGGCGGUUGCCUGGCCUGUAACUGACGCUGAGGCUCGAAAGCGUGGGGAGCAAAUAGGAUUAGAUACCCUAGUAGUCCACGCUGUAAACGAUGAUUACUAAGUGUUGGAGAAAUUAACCUUCAGUGCCGCAGUAAACGCAAUAAGUAUCCCGCCUGGGGAGUACGGCCGCAAGGUUGAAACUCAAAGGAAUUGACGGGGGCCCGCACAAGCAGCGGAGCAUGUGGUUUAAUUCGAAGCAACGCGAAGAACCUUACCAGAACUUGAAAUCCCGGGAAAGAGAUUAGGGGGUGCCUGCUUGCAGGAGCCCAGACACAGGUGGUGCAUGGUUGUCGUCAGCUCGUGUCGUGAGAUGUUGGGUUAAGUCCCGCAACGAGCGCAACCCUUGUCAUUAGUUGCCAGCGGGUUAGGCUGGGCACUCUAAUGAGACUGCCGGGGAUAACUCGGAGGAAGGUGGGGACGACGUCAAAUCAUCAUGCCCCUUAUGUCUUGGGCUACACACGUGCUACAAUGGCCGGUACAAAGGGCUGCAAACCCGCAAGGGGGAGCGAAUCCCAUAAAGCCGGUCCCAGUUCGGAUUGUGGGCUGCAACCCGCCCACAUGAAGUCGGAGUUGCUAGUAAUCGCGGAUCAGCAUGCCGCGGUGAAUACGUUCCCGGGCCUUGUACACACCGCCCGUCACACCAUGGGAGUUGGGAGCGCCCGAAGCCGGUAUCCUAACCGUAAGGAGGGAGCCGUCGAAGGUGAGAUCAAUGACUGGGGUGAAGUCGUAACAAGGUAACCA
rnacentral:rRNA from 1 species